UUGUGCGCGCCGUGUUAAACGAAGCUAAUUAAAAACGGGCAAAUAUAUUAAAACAUAAAAAACGAUCACAAGCUAAAAGUCGUUAGUACGUGUGAUAGUUACUAAGAAAAAGUACGCUACAAAUUCGACUCGAAGAUUACAAUCACAAAACGAGAAACAAAUUAAAACCGAAUAUACAGAAAAAGGUAACAUUUGUGUAAUGUACAAAACCAAGUGUUAGUUCGAUGACACGAGGUGUCAAAAGGUAUUAAAAAAUUGUUUCCAUGCUAAACAGAUUAAAAAUACGUUCAAUAGUACAACGAGGAAAAACAAACAAGUUAAAAUUAUAUCCUGAAGAAAAAGGUAAAAAUAUGUAAAAAUGUAUUAUCAUUAUAUUAUUGUGAAACAUUAUAAAAACCAUGCGGUGAAAGAUGUGACGUAACAAGUGACGUAACUAAUGUAUCUGGUCAGGUCCAGAGGACCUUUUUCUUUUCGUUUAUAACCUCAAUCUCAGGAGCUUCCUCGACGGGUCACGGUUCAAGACGAAACCGAAUCCGCUUUCCGAGGACAGAAAACUGAAUGCCGCUGGUGGACAUAACCCCUAAAAGGUCCGCCAUCUCACAUCAUCACCAUCGAGUUGAUUCUAGCACCAUUCGGGACGCCGAAUUGGGUGUGAAUCUUCUGGUGUAGCUGCCAGUCGGAGGAUCCAGUUUCCCGAACCAGAAUGUUUACAACUCAAACCUAACCAUAAAACCGCAAGUAUGGACCGAAUUGUGACGUCAAGUUUAGGCUCUGUGCAGCCAAUAAAUGUACCACUAAAAGUUUGUAAAACCAAGCCCCCCUGUAUGAGUUUUUUACCACGAAUGAUUUACACCCAUAUUCAGAUCUUUCUACAGUAUUCCAUCGUUCUCUAAAAACAACCCUCUGAAGAGUUCUCGCAUUUUGGUCUUCAAUUAGAUUAGAUUCCACAUACAUCUGACAACGGUUGGUAGCAUGCGAGGUACCACCCGUGAUUUAACAUUUAGCUCGAUUCCCCCAUUUGGACAUCACUGUUUGAGUUCGACUCAAGAGGGAAUAGCCCGUGUUGAAAAAUCCUAUAACGACCCUGAGUUCUAUCCACCCCACCCACUAAUCCAGAAUAAAAACAUACCACCCACCCGCUGAGCAACCGCGAGUUACACUCGCCCCCGCAGAUCAUCGCAUCAGGUUGGCGAAAAGCGUCCUGUGAGGUUCGUGGACUUCAUCGCAGCCAGCCAGCA